UCCUCUGCCGCCACGCCGUCGCCCAGCGCCCCUCCCCCCACCCACACCACCACGGGAUCUCCCCGUCUCGUCCUAUCCCCACCACGGCCUCGCCCCGCCGGCUCUUAUCCCCAUGAUGGCCUCGCCUCGCCGGCCCUUAUCACCACGAUGGCCUCUCCCCGCCGCCUCUUGUCACCACCGCGGCCUUGCCUCGCCGCCAACCCCACGGAUCUUCCCUAGAUCGGUUCUGCCGCCGCCAUCGUACUGCCCCAGAGCAGAUCGAGAUGCGAGCUGCUGGACACGAUGUGGGAGGAGGCAUCUCGAAUUGGCCCGAGAUUCAGUGCGUUGACGUGCCCGCCGCAAUCAUCGCCCCCCGUGCUUGGCUCACAUAGUCGCUCCGGGAAGGGGUUCGCAGCUCGCAUACGUGCUCGGUUGCUGAAGGCGCCUUCGCCACAUUGUCAUUCAUAUGUGAGAUGUUUCUCUUUCUCUAUGUUGGCAUGGAGGAUAUAGUGUAGUGGAAGAUUGUUAGUGAAACGCAUACAGCCCAAUGAAAUCUAUCGCCUCGAGCUCCAUUAUUUAGGCCAGAUGUCAUGAGAGGUGUUGUGUCAAUUGCAUUGGCAUACAAUAAGGUCCCUCGUAUUGAAACCGCAAUGCUCCACAGUGGAGGCAGUCCCUAACUUUCCUAAGGACGUGGUGAUUUCUGGGAAGGUUAAUGUAAACCCUAUCAUGAGGAUCAUUUGUGUUUGUUCCAUCAGUGUGACAUCGCUCAACUCGGUAGGAUUCAAAUUCAACACCUGGAACAGAAUUUGAAUAUUCAGGCAUCUUUUGAUAUGCAGAAAUGACACUAACAGAAUUUGGUUCAUACCUUGGUGGGAGAACAUCCUAGCUUCUUCAUCAGGCUCAAGGUAUUCAGCUUCUACAAGGUUUCCGUCUUCCAAGCAGUCUAUAGUAGACAAAUAUUAGUUUGUAAUAAUGUAUAAGAUCUCGUAAAUUAAACAAAAAACCAUAUAUGCAUUAAUGUGAACCAUCAAUGUUGUUUGUGUUGCCAUCGGGCUCCAGUAUUCCAUAUGCAUCAUCUUCGUGGUCAUUUCCUGGCAGCAUAUUCAGGCAAAAUGGGCAAGUAUGAGCUAUGAAUGAAAGGUAUGAACCAAGCAGUAGUCAAUUAAAUCACCAUUAUAUUUGUCGACGGGAUUGUGCCCACAUGACGGCGCAGUGAGUAUGUUGUCUGGCAGCAUCCUCCUUCCAAAGUCUUGUCUCUGGUACAUAUCAUUUGUGUGUAGCCAAUCACAAUCUUCAUCAGCUAAAGAAACAUUGAGUGUCUGUCAGUUAGGAAAUGAAAGAUUGGAUAUACAGUGUUCCAUGUAGUUGGCAUCACCUAUAUCAGAUUGAUUUUGUUCUGUAGUAGCAAGGACUACUGUUGACGAUUUGGUUCGACGCCGUUUGUCACGUAGGCUUUGCAAUAUGACUUGCUUAUGUUGCUCAUAGCGGGCAUUUCCCUUCCGCCCCUUAAGUGCUUGUUUUGCUUCUGUACAAUAAGUGUUAAUUUGGUACAAGACAACAUGAGCAACAAUUGUUUUUACUCUGUAUGGUAGUUAAUAUGAGCGACACUUGAUUACCAUAUGAACUGCUGCCUCUGUAGGAUUGAAGUGGCGGUGGUAACAUAGUCAGUUGGGAGGACCCAAUGGCAGAGUCGAUAUUAUUGACAUUUUCCUUGUUAGAAACGGCGGUAUCUGGUGUUCUUAAUGAAUUUGGACCAUGAGGUGGAGUCUGAUCACUCAUUAUCACAUGAACAGGUUCUGAAUGGGAGUACGUAUCCCACUACGCUGAGAGGAUGACAUAUUGUCUUUUCAAUGGUUCCACUUGUGAAACACUUAUUUAACCCUUCGUCAACUCAGUUUGUUCAUGAUAUACUGUAAGUAUCAAAUUUCGUCAACUCAGUUUGUUCAUGAUAUACUGUCGAGAUGCUGCUGCCCACACGGGGUGAUGACACCGCAGGUAGGGUAGCGCGCCGGGUUGAGGAUGUCCACCGGGUCGAGGACGUCGCGGACAGGGCGAGGGCGGCGUGGCGAGGACGGCGGGGCGAGGAGAGGCAGAGAAGCAAGGUGGGUCGAGGACGUCGCGGACACCAGGGGCUUAGGCGACGGGGCGGCUAGCCGAGGCGAGGUUCGUGGCGUGAUGGCGGCGUCGAUCGUGGAGGAUCGUGGCGUGGUGGGGCACUGUGUAGGAUCCUGGAUGGGGGAGUCUGCCGGCAGAACAUUUGUUUUGAACCAUAGAUCUGUUUGUAUUAUGGUGGAUGUAAUGUGGACUGUUGGAUGCAUCUAAGUGGGUUUGAUCGGACGUGCGGGGUUAUCCUGUGUGCACUUUGUGGGGUGCACGUAGGAGAAGUCAUGUUUGGUAUUUUAAUAGUAUAAGUAUAGAUAAAGAGAUUACAUGUACAACUACAAGUCAUAUACGAAGCUACAUACAAGUCUAA